UUCGGUGGGGAUUAGUGGCGAACGGGUGAGUAACACGUGGGCAAUCUGCCCUUCACUCUGGGACAAGCCCUGGAAACGGGGUCUAAUACCGGAUAACACUCCUGCCUGCAUGGGCGGGGGUUAAAAGCUCCGGCGGUGAAGGAUGAGCCCGCGGCCUAUCAGCUUGUUGGUGAGGUAACGGCUCACCAAGGCGACGACGGGUAGCCGGCCUGAGAGGGCGACCGGCCACACUGGGACUGAGACACGGCCCAGACUCCUACGGGAGGCAGCAGUGGGGAAUAUUGCACAAUGGGCGAAAGCCUGAUGCAGCGACGCCGCGUGAGGGAUGACKGCCUUCGGGUUGUAAACCUCUUUCAGCAGGGAAGAAGCGAAAGUGACGGUACCUGCAGAAGAAGCGCCGGCUAACUACGUGCCAGCAGCCGCGGUAAUACGUAGGGCGCAAGCGUUGUCCGGAAUUAUUGGGUCUGUAAACGAGCUCGCUAGGCGGCUUGUCACGUCGGUUGUGAAAGCCCAGAGAACUUAACCCCGGGUCUGCAGUCGAUACGGGCAGGCUAGAGUUCGGUAGGGGAGAUCGGAAUUCCUGGUGUAGCGGU
rnacentral:rRNA from 1 species